rnacentral:rRNA from 1 species
ACAUGCAUACAACAUAUCAUUAAUGCAUCGUAUCUCAUUAAAACUCUAGAGUUAAGCACACUCAGGCUAGAGUAGUACUGGGAUGGGUGAUUUCUCGGGAAGUCCUAAUUUUUUGCAUGGA